rnacentral:rRNA from 1 species
ACGCUCGACACCUACGGAGGCAGCAGUGGGGAAUAUUGCACAAUGGGGGAAACCCUGAUGCAGCGACACCGCGUGGAGGAAGAAGGUCUUCGGAUUGUAAACUCCUGUUGUUGGGGAAAAAGAGGAUGGUACCCAACAAGGAAGUGACGGCUAACUACGUGCUAGCAGCCGCGGUAAUCUGAGCGGGCUGGCAAGGC